GUAUGUAUGUGUGUCCCAAAAGGCAACUUGAGGUAAGAAUAAGGUCAGAAAAGGAAGUCAGAAAAACAGGAAAUCCUGUUAACAGGAACAAUCGCAUCCUGAAAACAAAGAUGCAACUGUAAGGGUUUCAAAGUGACUGUCAAUAUUUAUUAAAUCCAAGACCGACAGACAUAAAGGGUAAACUUAUCCAACACCACCCCUCUCCAAAUAAAAUACAGAGGCCUGCUUCAUCUGAUCAUCAAAUUAAGUACACUGGAUCUUGUAGCGUCAACA